GGACGAACGCUGGCGGCGUGCCUAAUCCAUGCAAGUCGAACGAACCGCGACUAGGUGCUUGCACUUGGUCAAGGUGAGUGGCGAACGGGUGAGUAACACGUGGGUAACCUACCUCAUAGUGGGGGAUAACAGUCGGAAACGACUGCUAAUACCGCAUAGGACAUAGGAUCACAUGAUCCAGUGAGGAAAGGUGGCGCAAGCUAUCGCUAAGAGAUGGACCCGCGGUGCAUUAGCUAGUUGGUAGGGUAAAGGCCUACCAAGGCGAUGAUGCAUAGCCGACCUGAGAGGGUGAUCGGCCACAUUGGGACUGAGACACGGCCCAAACUCCUACGGGAGGCAGCAGUAGGGAAUCUUCCGCAAUGGACGCAAGUCUGACGGAGCAACGCCGCGUGAGUGAAGAAGGUCUUCGGAUCGUAAAGCUCUGUUGUUAGAGAAGAACAGCGCAUAGAGUAACUGUUAUGCGUGUGACGGUAUCUAACCAGAAAGCCACGGCUAACUACGUG
rnacentral:rRNA from 1 species